GUGGCUUCGCGACUGCGGAAGGUUGCCCGGGCUGGCGCCGCUGGGCAGAGCCGGUGCGACGUUUCCCUUUCCAGCUUUGUUCUUCCGGCCCUGCUGUCUGCCUCCCCGGCUGAUUGGAUUCGUUACUGCUUUGCAACGCGCACCUAACUCCAGACGGGGUCUCACUCUGUCGCCCAGGCUGGAGUGCAGUGGCACAAUCUCAGCUUGCUGUGACCUCAGCUCUCUGCGACCUCUGCUUGCUGGACUCAAGCGAUCCUCCCACCACCUCAGCCUCCUGAGUAGCUGGAACCAUCAUAUGCACCAGCACGCCUGGCUAAGCUGGAAUGCAAUAGCGUGGUCUUGGCUCACUGCAACCUCCGCCUCCCGGGUUCAAGCAAUUCUCCUGCCUCAGCCUCCUAAGUAGCUGGGACUACAGGGGCCCUCCUGCUGCUCCCUCCAUGAGGCUGGUCCUGAAGGAAUAGGCCUGUGGCUCGUCCCUCCUCCCCAUCUCGGCCCUGAGGCAAACAUACCUUCCACAGCUCUGGGAGCACCGCCUCCACCCAGGUCUCACAGGAUGGGACACAAGGAUAGGCAUUAAGCAGGACUUCCAGGGCCCGAGGGAAGUUGGCGCAGUGUUUCAGCAUCUAGGGGUCAAAAGAGGGUCUUGGGCACAUGCCUCCCCCACCCGAGGGCAGACCCAAGUCUUGCCUCACCCACAUGGCCAAUCCUAGCCUAAUCUGGGGGGCUAAGGUCUGAGUCUCUCUUCCCUUUUUUGUGCCUCUGUCUACCCCACCCUCAAGUAUGCUCCAACCUUUUGGCCCCAGUUUUCCUCUGGGGCUCUUCCCUCCCUUGGACUCUCUCUCCCAGAAUCCUCUCUCCCCCUCCCAAGCUGGGGACAGCCCCCUGGCCACUGAGGGCAGGCUUUCAGUCUCUUGGACCCUCUGUCUUCCCCAGAAGCGGAGCAGUUCCAGCCGCGGGCUCCCCCACACAGGAGCCUCCUAUGUCAGGGCCUCCCAGCGCACCUCAGGGCGCACUGGCUGCGCCCCGUAGUCCAGCAGUGCGGCGAAAAGGACUUCAGGCUCCCAGUUGGGGGAGUCCUGGACGGCCUGCAGCGCACAGUCCAUGGGCGUGUGGCCCGCCCCAUUGGGGACCUCAGCGCGGGCCCCGUAACGCAGCAGCAGCUCGGCCAGGCCCCCGCAGCCGUUGGCACAAGCGUUGUGCAGCGGCGUGUGGCGCUUGCGCCCGGCCGCCCGGGCAUCAGCUCCAGCCUCCAGGAGCCGGCGCGCCGCAGCCUGGUGUCGCCUGCAGCUACCUGGGCCCUCGGCCCCAGCGCACGCCGUGUUCAGCGCAGUCUCGCCCUGGCUGGUGCGCAGGCCCACGUCGGCGCCAUGCUCCAGGUACAGAGCCACAUGUUGCUCCAGGCCGCGCGCCGCCGCCACGUGCAGGGGCGUCUCCUGGCUCUCGCCUGCUGCCAGGUUCACCGUCGCUCCUGCUUCCAGCAGCAACUUGGCGCACCUGGGGACAAGAGAGCAAGGUCCUGAGGAAAAUCCUGAAGGCUUGGGACCCCUUCAGCUUGCUGUGACACUCCCUUGCCUUUCCACCCCUCUCAGCUUGAGGUCCUACCUGGUGUCCUCCAUGAGAAUCAUACAAGCCCCGCUACAGACAACAGAAUUGGAAGGUCCUGAGAGCUACCAGAAGCAUCUUCAGUUUUCAUAUGAAAAACUUAAGCCCAGGAGUGAUUUGUGCAGCCAAGGACACACAGCAAGUUAGUGGCUGCACCAGAAAUAGUACUCACUGCCUCAGACAGUCCCUCCCACAGUCUACUCUGUCUCCACCCCAAGGUCUGGUUCUGAAUCAUUCAGUUGUCAGUUGUCUCCUUUUUUUUUUUUUUUUUUGGAGACAGGGUCUCUCUCUGUGGCCCAGGCUGAAGUGCAGUGGUGUGAUUACAGCUCAUGUAGCCUGGACCUCCCAAGCUCAAGCAAUCCUCCUGCCUCUGCCUCCCAAGUAGCUGGGACCACAGGUGGGCAGCACCACACCUGGCUAAUUUUUUAAAUUUUUUUUUAUAGAGACAGGGUCUUACCAUUUGCCCCAGCUGGUCUCAAACCCCUGGGCUCAAGCAAGCCUCCUGCCUUGGCCUCCCAAAGUGCUGGGAUUACAGGUGUGAGCCACCACACCCGGCCUUAUCUCCUAACAUUUUGAUAGCACAAAAUUUUGAAAACCCACUUCUGUGUACGUUAUGAAGCAUAGAAAAUUAAACAGUAUGCACCAAAAAAAAAUAAAAAAAAAAAAAAAAAAA
rnacentral:lncRNA from 1 species